AGCGGCCGCACGUUGGAGCCGAUGAGGGCCCCCAGCCUGAGCCUUCCUGGGAUGGAGCAGCAGCUGCCCCGUGCCUCUGCCACCCAGGUCUGAGGUAACGGUAACGAACUUCCACCCCAGCCACGUCUUUUGGGUCGUUUCCUCCAUAAAAGUCCUUGGUGGCUUCU